GCGAGGAUGGCGGAAUUGGCAGACGCGACAGUUUGAGGGGCUGUUGGCUGCAUAAGCUGUGAGGGUUCAACUCCCUCUCCUCGCACCA
rnacentral:tRNA from 1 species